rnacentral:rRNA from 1 species
UACGGAGGGGACUAGCGUUGUUCGGAAUUACUGGGCGUAAAGCGCACGUAGGCGGAUUUGUAAGUCAGGGGUGAAAUCCCGAGGCUCAACCUCGGAACUGCCUUUGAUACUGCAAAUCUCGAGUCCGGAAGAGGUGAGUGGAAUUCCUAGUGUAGAGGUGAAAUUCGUAGAUAUUAGGAAGAACACCAGUGGCGAAGGCGGACUCACUGGUCCGGUACUGACGCUGAGGUGCGAAAGCGUGGGGAGCAAACAGG